rnacentral:pre_miRNA from 1 species
UUUGAGGGGAAUGUUGUCUGGCACGAGGCCCUUAACUCAGAUCUACAAUUGAUUAUAUAUAUAUAUAUCGCUGCUCAAUAACCAUUUAUAUACAUGAAUGAUCGAUUUAUAUGGUUAAUGACGUCGGACCAGGCUUCAUUCCCCUCAAU